rnacentral:rRNA from 1 species
CGGCGGGCGGGUGAGUAAUGUCUGGGAAACUGCCUGAUGGAGGGGGAUAACUACUGGAAACGGUAGCUAAUACCGCAUAACGUCUUCGGACCAAAGUGGGGGACCUUCGGGCCUCACGCCAUCGGAUGUGCCCAGAUGGGAUUAGCUAGUAGGUGGGGUAAUGGCUCACCUAGGCGACGAUCCCUAGCUGGUCUGAGAGGAUGACCAGCCACACUGGAACUGAGAUACGGUCCAG